rnacentral:rRNA from 1 species
UACGGAGGAUCCAAGCGUUAUCCGGAUUUAUUGGGUUUAAAGGGUGCGUAGGCGGCCUGUUAAGUCAGAGGUGAAAGACGGUAGCUCAACUAUCGCAGUGCCUUUGAUACUGAUGGGCUUGAAUGGACUAGAGGUAGGCGGAAUGAGACAAGUAGCGGUGAAAUGCAUAGAUAUGUCUCAGAACACCGAUUGCGAAGGCAGCUUACUAUGGUUUGAUUGACGCUGAGGCACGAAAGCGUGGGGAUCGAAC